rnacentral:lncRNA from 1 species
GGGUUCAUGGCGGAUUGGGGGCCGGUGGUGGUGGCGGUGAUGCUGUUCGUGCUGCUGUCGCCGGGGCUGCUGAUCCAGCUGCCGGCCAGGGGGAGGGUGGUGGAGUUCGGCAACAUGCAGACGAGCGGCCUCUCCAUCCUCGUCCACGCCAUCCUCUACUUCGCUCUCGUCACCAUCUUCCUCAUCGCCAUCGGCGUCCACAUCUACGCCGGCUGACACGCCACCACCAUCACCUCCGAUGGAUGGUCAUAAUUAGGUUUGUGCUAGCUGGAUUUCUAAGAGGAGGAUGCGUUGUUGUGUCGUGUCGGAGUACGGUCAACGAAAACAUGUUCUUGGAGAUUAGCUUGAUGCCGAGCUUGAUUUGCUGUUGU